UAAAUAACCCGUCGCCGGGCGGCCCGGGCGGCUUUCCAGUGACGCCGGGGCCGGCGUGGGAGGAGGAGGGCGCGGGAGACAAUGAAGCCGCCGCCGCCUCCCCAGCUCCUCCGCCCUCCCGCGGCCGAGCUCCCCGCGCCCCGCGCGGACCGCCCGCGAGCGGGAAGGACCGAGCCGAGCCCGCGUCCUCCCAUCCCGAACUCAGCCUCUCCCUGCCUCAGCUUCCUCAUCCUCAAAAGGAAGGACUGAUGGUUUCUAAGCCCCUUUGAACACUCACAUUCUAGGAGGCCGAAGGACACAAUUGUGUUCAGCUCCAGGCCCAGAAAAGCAGCAAAACAGAUGAAGCAACACCAUGACUGACAUCAGGACCAGAUGCAGUGACAAAUGACUUCCAGUCCUAGUACUGACCAAUCAUUAGAGGCCAUGACCCUGAAAGGACACACCUGGAAAACUGAUGAAUAUUCUACUGAGAUCCUCCCCUGAGACCUCUUCUAAAACUCUCGCCUUUAGAAAACAGAUAAAAACCCUUAAGACAAAGGAUCCAGCAUAGGCUUUCUCUCUCUCUCUCUCUCUCUCUCUCUCUCUCUCUCUCUCUCUCUCU